UACAGGAAGCAGCUUGCUGCUUCGCUGACGAGUGGCGGACGGGUGAGUAAUGUCUGGGAAACUGCCUGAUGGAGGGGGAUAACUACUGGAAACGGUAGCUAAUACCGCAUAACGUCGCAAGACCAAAGAGGGGGACCUUCGGGCCUCUUGCCAUCGGAUGUGCCCAGAUGGGAUUAGCUAGUAGGUGGGGUAACGGCUCACCUAGGCGACGAUCCCUAGCUGGUCUGAGAGGAUGACCAGCCACACUGGAACUGAGACACGGUCCAGACUCCUACGGGAGGCAGCAGUGGGGAAUAUUGCACAAUGGGCGCAAGCCUGAUGCAGCCAUGCCGCGUGUAUGAAGAAGGCCUUCGGGUUGUAAAGUACUUUCAGCGGGGAGGAAGGGAGUAAAGUUAAUACCUUUGCUCAUUGACGUUACCCGCAGAAGAAGCACCGGCUAACUCCGUGCCAGCAGCCGCGGUAAUACGGAGGGUGCAAGCGUUAAUCGGAAUUACUGGGCGUAAAGCGCACGCAGGCGGUUUGUUAAGUCAGAUGUGAAAUCCCCGGGCUCAACCUGGGAACUGCAUCUGAUACUGGCAAGCUUGAGUCUCGUAGAGGGGGGUAGAAUUCCAUGUGU
rnacentral:rRNA from 1 species